AUGAUGGAAUAGUCAUUUCGAACUCAACUAGCUGAAAA
rnacentral:sRNA from 1 species